GCUACCUUGACGCACACUGUCACUGAGGACCGAAGCUUGGGAGCAACAGGAUUAGAUACCCUGGUUGUCCAUCGCUUAACGAGCGACCUGGCGUUGGGUGCAAUUUGGACGCAGCAUAGAACUACCCUCAAGGUCCCCCCUGGGGAGUACGGUCGCAAGACUGAACCUCAAAGGAAUGACGGGGGGCCGCACAACCGGUGGAGUAUUUGUUUAAUUCGAGCAACGCGGAAGAACCUUUCCUGGCCUUGACAUGUCGAGAACUUUCCAAAGAUGGAUUGGUGCCUCCGGAACCCGAAAACAGGGGCGGCAUUGCUGUCUUCGGCUCCUGUCCUGAAAUGUUGGGUUUAAAUCCCGCAAUGAGCGCCACCCUUGUCCUUUUUUUGCCCGCACGUAAUUGUUGGAACCCUAAGGGAGGCCCCCGGUGACAAACCGGAGGAAGGUGGGGAUGACGUCAAGUCAUCCUUGGCCCUAGUGCCAGGGCUACACACGUUCUACAAUGGUAGGGACAGAUCUCUGCAAACCGGCGGCGGUUAGCCAAUGCCAGAAACCCUAUCUCAGUCCGGAUUGGAGUCUGCAACUCGACUCCAAGAAGUCAGAAUCGCUAGUAAUCGCAGAUACCAAUGGGCGGUGAAUGCUUCCCUGCCUUGCCACCCGCCCCUCACCCCAUGGGAGUUUUUGCACCAGAAGCAGGAAGCUUAACCUUCGGGAGGGCGCCUCCACGGUGUGGCCGAUGACUGGCGGUGCAUAG
rnacentral:rRNA from 1 species